UUGACCUCAAAUCAGGUAGGACUACCCGCUGAACUUAAGCAUAUCAAUAAGCGGAGGAAAAGAAACUAACAAGGAUUCCCCUAGUAACUGCGAGUGAAGAGGGAAAAGCUCAAAUUUAAAAUCUGGCAGCUUCGCUGUCCGAGUUGUAAUUUAGAGAAGUGUUACCCGUGCUGGACCGUGUACAAGUCUCCUGGAACGGAGCGUCAUAGAGGGUGAGAAUCCCGUCUUUGACACGGACUCCCAGUGCAUUGUGGUACGCUCUCAAAGAGUCGUGUUGUUUGGGAAUGCAGCACUAAAUGGGUGGUAAAUUCCAUCUAAAGCUAAAUAUUGGCGAGAGACCGAUAGCAAACAAGUACCGUGAGGGAAAGAUGAAAAGAACUUUGGAAAGAGAGUUAAACAGUACGUGAAAUUGUUGAAAGGGAAACGCUUAAAGUCCAGUCGCGUUGGUUGGAAAUCAGUCUUGCUUCUGCUUGAUGUACUUUCUAACUGACGGGUCAGCAUCAGUUUUGACCGUUGGAUAAAGGUUGGAGGAAUGUGGCAUCUUCGGGUGUGUUAUAGCCUUCGAUUGUAUACAACGGUUGGGACUGAGGAACUCAGCA
rnacentral:rRNA from 1 species